ACACGACCCCAGGUCAGGCGGGGCCACCCGCUGAGUUUAAGCAUAUCAAUAAGCGGAGGAGAAGAAACUUACAAGGAUUCCCCUAGUAACGGCGAGCGAACCGGGAAAAGCCCAGCUUGGGAAUCGGGCGGCCACGCCGCCUGAAUUGUAGUCUGGAGAAGCGUCCUCAGCGACGGACCGGGCCCAAGUCCUCUGGAAAGAGGCGCCAGGGAGGGUGAGAGCCCCGUCCGGCCCGGACCCUGCCGCACCACGAGGCGCUGUCGGCGAGUCGGGUUGUUUGGGAAUGCAGCCCCAAUCGGGCGGUAAAUUCCGUCCAAGGCUAAAUAGCGGCGAGAGACCGAUAGCGAACAAGUACCGCGAGGGAAAGAUGAAAAGGACUUUGAAAAGAGAGUCAAAGAGUGCUUGAAAUUGUCGGGAGGGAAGCGGAUGGGGGCCGGCGAUGCGCGCCGGCCGGAUGCGGAACGGCCCUUCCGGGGGCCGGUCCGCCGCUCGGCUCGGCGUGCGGACCGUUGCGGGCCGCGCCGGCGG
rnacentral:rRNA from 1 species